UUUUUUUUUAUAUUUAUAAGGCCGUUAGUUUUUUCGUUACAAUUGUUUUACAUUGUCAUUUUGGGGCCUUUUAUAGCUGUCUAUGCAGUAUGGGCUUUGCUUAUUAUUGAAGGCUAUACGGCGACCUCUAGUUGUUACUUUAUGUGUCAUUUUGGUCUCUUGUGGAGAGUUGUAUCAUUGGCAAUCGUACCACAGAAAGAACAUUGAUAAUAAAACGGAUACAUACAAAUUGAAAACAAAUCGCGUAAGAAAAAGCAAUUAUUGGUAUGUUAGUUUUCUUUAGUAUCAUGAAUAUUUUUGGCUCAACUUCUUAAUCAUGAUCAGGCAAAAUUAUUGGCUUUUUAUUCUGACAUUUUUUUUUAUUCCUCUUCCACCCCAUUUUUCGGCAUAUAACACGUCCGUUUUAUUUGGUCAUUACAUCGCGGACUCCUAACGGAUGCAAAUUUUGUAAAUGGAAAACUUUUGUUUAUCCUUUCGGCGUUCGUUCGAGCUAUCUGGUAAGGUGUGACCACAGUUUUUAGCAGAU
rnacentral:lncRNA from 1 species